rnacentral:rRNA from 1 species
UAACUUCGAUUUGGGUGGUGGACGGGUGAGUAACGCGUAAAGAACUUGCCUCACAGACAGGGACAACAUUUGGAAACGAAUGCUAAUACCUGAUAUUAUGAUUUUAGGGCAUCCUAGGAUUAUGAAAGCUAUAUGCGCUGUGAGAGAGCUUUGCGUCCCAUUAGCUAGUUGGAGAGGUAACGGCUCACCAAGGCGAUGAUGGGUAGCCGGCCUGAGAGGGUGAUCGGCCACAAGGGGACUGAGACACGGCCCUUACUCCUACGGGAGGCAGCAGUGGGGAAUAUUGGACAAUGGACCAAGAGUCUGAUCCAGCAAUUCUGUGUGCACGAUGAAGUUUUUCGGAAUGUAAAGUGCUUUCAGUUGGGAAGAAAAAAAUGACGGUACCAACAGAAGAAGUGACGGCUAAAUACGUGCCAGCAGCCGCGGUAAUACGUAUGUCACAAGCGUUAUCCGGAUUUAUUGGGCGUAAAGCGCGUCUAGGUAGUUAUAUAAGUCUGAUGUGAAAAUGCAGGGCUCAACUCUGUAUUGCGUUGGAAACUGUGUAACUAGAGUACUGGAGAGGUAAGCGGAACUACAAGUGUAGAGGUGAAAUUCGUAGAUAUUUGUAGG